rnacentral:rRNA from 1 species
GACGAACGCUGGCGGCGUGCUUAACACAUGCAAGUCGAACGGAAAGGCCUGCUUUCCCUUGUGGAUUGCGGGUACUCGCGUGGCGAACGGGUGAGUAACACGUGAGUGAUCUGCCCCCAACUUGGGUAUAAGCCUGGGAAACUGGGUCUAAUUCCCGAUAGGACUGCAGGGUGGUGCCUGUGGUGGAAAACGAUUUUCUAGUGGUUGGGGAUGAGCUCGCGGCCUAUCAGCUUGUUGGUGGGGUAAUGGCCUACCAAGGCGGCGACGGGUAGCCGGCCUGAGAGGGUGGACGGCCACAUUGGGACGGAGAUACGGCCCAGACUCCUACGGGAGGCAGCAGUGGGGAAUAUUGCACAAUGGGCGGAAGCCUGAUGCAGCGACGCCGCGUGGGGGAUGACGGCCUUCGGGUUGUAAACUCCUUUCGACCGCGAGGAAGCCACCUGGUUGGAAGGGUGGUGACGGUAGUGGUAGAAGAAGCACCGGCUAACUACGUG